rnacentral:rRNA from 1 species
UACGGGGGGGGCAAGCGUUGUUCGGAAUUACUGGGCGUAAAGGGUUCGUAGGUGGCUUGUUAAGUCAGACGUGAAAUCCCUCGGCUCAACCGGGGAACUGCGUCUGAGACUGAUGAGCUCGAGUGCAGGAGAGGAACGCGGAAUUCCAGGUGUAGCGGUGAAAUGCGUAGAUAUCUGGAGGAACACCGGUGGCGAAGGCGGCGUUCUGGACUGACACUGACGCUGAGGCGCGAAAGCUAGGGUAGCAAACGGG